rnacentral:rRNA from 1 species
GUGGGGAAUAUUGGGCAAUGGGCGCAAGCCUGACCCAGCAACGCCGCGUGAAGGAAGAAGGUCUUCGGAUUGUAAACUUUUGUCUUAUGGGACGAUAAUGACGGUACCAUAGGAGGAAGCCACGACUAACUACGUGCCAGCAGUCGCGGUAAUACGUAGGUGGCGAGCGUUAUCCGGAAUUAUUGGGUGUAAAGGGUGCGUAGGCGGGGAGUAAAGUCAGAUGUGAAAGGCGUGUGCUCAACAUACGGAUUGCAUUUGAAACUUACUUUCUUGAGUGAAGUAGAGGCAAGCGGAAUUCCCAGUGUAGCGGUGAAAUGCGUAGAUAUUGGGAGGAACACCAGUGGCGAAGGCGGCUUGCUGGGCUUUUACUGACGCUGAGGCACGAAAGUGUGGGGAGCAAACAGGAUUAGAAACCCGGGUAGUCC